rnacentral:misc_RNA from 1 species
GGGUGCGUAUGCCAUGUUGUUGAUCAUAGUUCAAUUAAGCGACUCAAGUCACGUGGAUGUUGUUCCUUGCAAAUCACUUAGUCUUAUUGUGGAUGCCUGGAUUGCUUUAUUUAUUUAUUUUUAAUUCGUUUCUAGUUUAAUUGAUUAUUAAUUAAUACUGCUGUUUGGUAAAUUUAGAAAGAUGGAAUGAUUUGUACAAAAUGAAAG